UCUUAAGUGUGUUCAUUACUGAAGGUUCAUGGCUGAAGCAGUGUUAAGUGUCUUCAGUAAGCAAAUUAGUAGAGUAUCUAUAGUAGAAUUUGAAAAAGGAUGAAGAUUUAAAAGGAUGCCUGGGGUGAAAUAGAACUGCAGUCCCUUGUGAGACAGCAGGGAGGUGACCAGGAGUAGUUGCUUAGUUAGACAUCUCUGCCUCUUAGACCAGGAGCAGUCAAUACAGACCAGUGUGUACAAACAGCCGUUCUUCUGGAGCAUAACCAGGGUGGAUGCUGAUGGUUUAGUAAGGGAGAGUACAAGCCCGUCUCAGUUCACUCACACACAGAAGGUGUGUUUUCAAACCCUAGUUUGUAAUUUGGUUGUUAUUGCCCUCAUUUUCUUUUCUAGUGAGAUAUAGACUAGCCCAAAACUUUGUUCAUGAGUGUAGAAUUAUUUUAGUAUUAAUAGCCAUGAAUUCUAGGUCUUCAAA
rnacentral:lncRNA from 1 species